rnacentral:lncRNA from 1 species
UUGAAUAUAUACUUUUCAAUACUUGACCUUUAGGAAUUAAGCGUGUCAACGAAACUUCGUGGUUUAAUCUGUAAGAGAAUUGUCUUUAUCUUUUCAAGCUAAGAAGUAUAUAUGCAUGAUAUAAAUAGGGCAUAACUCGUUUCGCUUUUGCACAUCCACAGGACACACAAGAAAAAAAAAAGAAACAUAAAAGGAAGAGGAAGAAGAAAACGAAUUAAUUAGGUCAUAUCAAGAAAGUAAGUACUGCAGAACAACAAGGAACUAAUGAAGAAGAAUGUGAAGGUUGUGAUUUUACUCUCUGUCAUUUGCCUCCUCCUAACAUCUGCCGUUGCUCGAAGAGGAGGCGGCAGCAGCGGCAUCGGCAUCGGUAGAGGAGCCGGCGUAGCCGGUGCGUCUCGUAGUUCUAGUAGCAGCAGCAAUAGCAGCCCAGCCAUCACCUUAGGGUGGUCUUGCUAUACCAUUUCUCUAUUGACUUACCUCUCAUUCUUUUACUUCUAAACUCAACUAGCUCCUUCAUAGAUUUGAUCAGCGGUGUAUUUACGUAUUCAUUCUUUUUACCACACGUAAUAUGAAUAUUCUUUUGUACAAAACAGAACAGUGAAUUGAUAUAGUUAAUAUAUGGAGUAUUCGAUUUAAGAUGUGAUCAUAACAGUGACGACCCAAAUCACCUGUUUUCUCAUGCAUUAUGUGUCUUCGGGGCCUUGAAAAACCUCAUUUAAGAUUGCCUCUAUUUGUCUGCGCAGUCCGAACGCGUAGCCGGAAAGCUUAAAUGUGAAUUCUAUGAGUAAAUGCUAGAGUUUGAUAUUUAAAAUGAUUAAAUUUGACUUCGGUCAACAUUUCGGGUAAACGGACCUGGACCCGUGAUUUGACGGUCCCGAAGGGUCCGUAGGAAAAUAUAGGACUUGGGCAUAUGUCCGGAAUCGAACUCCGAGGUCCCCAGUCCGAGAAAUAAAUUUUUGUGUGAAAUUGUUUUCUGGAAAUAAUUAUGGAAAUUAAAAAUGGAAUUUGAUUAGAAGACUAUGGUAUUGGGCCUUUAUUUUGGUUCUGGCUCCCGGUACAAGUCAUAUAUAUAAUUUAAACACUUUCUGUAAAGUUUGGUUGAAAACGGACGUAGUUUGACGUGUUUCGGACUUAAAAUGGAACUUUGAUAUUUUAUGAAAAAUCGGGAAGAAAUCAUGAGUUUUGAGGCUUGAUUCGGUGUAUAUGAUGUUAUUUUGGCGAUUUAAUCGCACGAAUAUGUUUGUAUGAUGAUUAUGAGGUGCACACUGGGCAAUGAUCUGCAUGCCUUCAGAAAGCCUCUGCGGGCGCGAUCCUUUUUGCGCGGUUCACGCGGGGAACUUUAGAGGGGUAUAAGUACACGUGAAUUUUAGUUAUUUUACACUUUUCUAAACCCCAAAACAUAAGAGGCGAUUUUUCAAACAACUCUUCUUCUCCAAAACGAUUGGUAAGUCGCAUCUGAGAGUAUAAAUACACGGAAUUUUGAGUUAUUUUUCACUUUUCAAAAACCCAAAACAUAUGAGGCAAUUUUUCAAGCAAUUAUUCUUCUUCAAAACGUUUGAUAAGUGAUUUCUAUAUUAUUUUCUUCACUCCUUAACAUCUUUUAACAUGAUUUCAACUUCAAAUCAAAGAUUUCCGUUGGUGAAAUUGGGGAUUUUAGGUAGAACUUAGAUUUUUCUAAAAUUAGGAAUUCGGACCUCAAUUUGGGGUCCGAUUUAUAAAUAAAUUAUAUAUUUGGGUUCGUAGGGGAACGGGUAACCGGGUUUUGGUUCGAACCUCGGGUUUGACCACGUUGGCCGGGGGACUUUUUGAACUUUGGGAAAACUUUUGAGAAAUUUAUUAUUAUGGAUUCAAAUUGAUUCAAUUAGCAUUUGUUGAUGUAUUCAAGUAAUUUUUUACUAGGUUCGAGCAAUUUUGUGGUGGAAUCGAGGGGUAAAGUUGUACUGGAGGCUUGAGUUAAGUUUGAAGCAUCAAGGUAAGUGUACCUUAGCUUGAGGGAAUAGGAGUUGAGUCUUGUUUGCUACUUGCUAAUUGUCGAGUACGGUGUAUAGACAUGGUGACGAAUAUCUAUACACUGGUGUCUAACAUGAUUGUGAGUCCUUAAAAUGUGAAUAUCAUGACUUUGUUGAGAUUUUCAUGCUUAAUUGAGGAUUCCUAUAUAUUGAAGAGCACAUGUGAAAUACUUUAUGAAUAUUUGGAUUUUCUGGAGAGAUGGAUCGAAUGAUAAAGUGAUUCAUAAAGUAAGAAAAGAAUGACUAUGUGGUUCUUCCCUUAUGAGGACGUUAUGUUGUUGUUGAUUUUCUCCCCUGCUAGGAUUUAACAGCCUCGUUGUAUUCCCUUGCCGGGGCUUCUUCCAUUAUUUAUUUACUUCCUUGCACUUAUUUGAGAUUGUUGCUUGGGUGAGGAAAUAUAUAUAUAUAUAUAUAUAUAUAUCGGGUUGCACGCUGCAAUAAUUAUACAUAUAUGGAUCGGGUUGUACAUCGCAACAAAUGAUAUAUGUGGAUCGGGUUGCAUGGGCAACAAAUGAUAUAUGUGGAUCAGAUUUCACGCCGUAAUAGUAUGGUUAUACAUUAGGAUCGAGUUGCGCGCCACAACAAUUGUUCGCUCCAAUGUGUUUACUUUGAGUAUUUGUUUCUGUUGGCUGCUUCUAUCUUUAAAUUGAGAUUUACUAUUUGUAUCUAUUGCCUCCCCACAUCAUGUUUCCCCCUUCCUUUAUCGGCUAUUAUUUUCUGUGUUUCUUUCCGUUGCAUAUAUAUUUUAGCUGCCCAGGUUUAUCUGGUAGUCUGGUUCAAGCCUCGUCACUAAUUCGUCUUAGUUAGGCUAGGUACUUACCAACACAUGGGGUCGAUUGUGCUGAUGCUACAUUCUGUGCUAUUUUAUACAGAUCACAGUGUUGGAGUAGUUUUUGAGCAGCAGCAGUUUUCUGGGAGCGAGCUUUCAGUCAAGAGACACCGAGGUAGCCUUCCUGACAUCCGCAAGCCCGGAGUCUCCUCUAUGUUUAUUUCAGUUUGUUAUCCUUUAUACCGAACAAAAAGUUUACAAUUUCUUUCAGACCUUGUAUGCAGUGUUCUUAGAUGUUCAUGAGUUUGUGACUCCAGUUCUUGGGUAGAGAUUUAUGUUGAGAUUUCCUUAUUAUUUUCCAGCUAUUUAAAUUUAAGACAUUCGCUUAUGAUUAUAAUUCUGUUGUUUCACUUUAAUGCUAAUAAUUAUUAAAAAGGGUUAUGUGUUUAAUGAAAAGUAAUUAAGUUUUGGUUUGUCUAGCUUCCACGAGUAGGCGUCGUCAAGACUCCCCAGGUGGGGAUUUCGGGUCGUGACAAGUUGGUAUAAGAGCACUAGGUUGCGUAGGUCUCACAACUUACGGACAAACUUAGUAGAGUUUGAGGGAUCAGUACGGAGAUGUCUAUAUUUAUCCCGAGAGGCUAAAGAGUUAGGAAAAACUUCACAUUUGUGUUUCAUGUCGUGCGGUUUUGUUUCUCAAAUACUAAUUGUCUUUCUAGUCUGUUCUUUCGCAGAUGGAGAGAACACGCGCUUUCUCUUCUACCUCGCAGUGGCCCGAGCCCCCAGCAGCAGUUCCCACGAGGGGUAGAGGUCGAGGCCGUGCCAGAGGCCGAGGUAGGGGCAGAGCUUAGCCCCGAGCAGCAGCCCUAGUGGCGGAGCCCCAGGAUGACUACGACGAGGAGGUUCCAGCCCCAGAGCUCCGGCAUGCCCAGCAGGUUCCAGAGGGUUUCAUUGCCACCCCAGUUCUUCAGGACGCUCUAGUCCGAUUGGUAGUGCUAAAGGAGAGUGUCAGCGAAGCGGGUUUGCUUCCAGUAGCACCAGCCAUUUCCCAGACUGGAGGAGGGGUUCAGACUCCUGCUACACGUACUCCGAAGUAGGUAACUCCCAAGGUUUAGGUCCCAGCGGUUUAGCUAGACGUGACAGUUCACCCGGGUGUCGCAGCUUAGAUUGGCGAUGGAGCGGCUAUGUCCGCAAAUGCUUUGUGGAGGCUGGAUAGAUUCACCAAGCUAUUCACCACCACCUUCAGCGCUGCUUCUUUAGAGGACCCGCAGGAUUUCCUAUAUAGCUGCCACGAGGUUCUUCAGAACAUGGGCAUUGUUGAGACCAAUGGGGUUUAUUUUGCCAACUUUCGUCUAUCUGGAUCCGCCAAGACGUGGCGGAGAGACUAUUGCUUAGCCAGACUAGCAUGGUCUUCUUCCUUGACUUGGGAGCAGUUUUCAGAGUUGUUUAUGGAAAAGUUUCUCCCAGUUACUCAUAGAGAAGCUCUUCGCAGGCAUUUUGAGCGCCUUCAACAGGGCUCCAUGAUGGUCACUCAGUAUGAGACCCGGUUUAUUGAUCUAGCUCGCCAUGAUAUUGUCAUACUCCCUACCAAGAGAGAGAGAGAGAGAGAGAGAGGGUGAGGAGGUUUACUGAUGGUUUGGUUCAGAUGAUUCGUCUCCAUAUGGCUAUGAGAGCCGGGAGUGAGAUUUCUUUUCAGGAAGCGGCGAAUGCGGCCCGCCAAGUUGAGAUGGCUCUGUCUCAGGGAGGAGGUCAUGGGUCGGAUAAGAGGCCCGUCACUCAAGUAGAUUCAGUGGUACCUCGUCUGGAGGUAAAGAUUCUUAUGGUAGAGGCCAUCCUCCUAGGCCUUUUCAGUCAGCUCUACAGGUCUCUCAUGGUACUUCAGGUGGUCGUGGUUCUCAACCACAUUAUUCUAAUCAGCAGCCUUACAGUGCACCACCAGCUCCUAUCAGUGCACCACCGCUUCAAAGCUUCCGAGGUGGUCAUUUAGGCCAAUAGGGCCAGUCUCAGUUUCCUUAGCAGCAGCAUUCGAAUGGGUGUUAUGAGUGUGGUGAGUAUGAUCACAUUAGGAGGUCUUGCCCGAGGUUGAGAGGUGCUCAGUCGCAGCAGAAGGGUCCCCGUCCUAUGAUUCAGGCACUAGGUGUUCCACAAGCCGCCCAGCCAGCUAGAGGUGGGGGCAAAGGUAUGAAGGUGGAGGUAUAGGUCAUAGAGGUAGAGCUCAGACCACCGGAGCUAGAGGCUAGCCCGAAACUGUUCGUCCCUGAGAUAUGGUUUAGGGAUGUAGGGCCCAGCAUCGAUGUUAUGCUCUCCCAGCCAGGCCAGAGGCUGAGUCAUCAGACGUUGUUAUUACAGGUACUAUUUUGAUAUGUGAUAGAGAUGCUUUAGUGCUAUUUGACCCAGGGUCUACGUAUUCGUAUGUGUCAUUAUUUUUCACUGUACCUGGUUUUGCCUAGUGAUGCAUCGAGUAUUCCUAUUUAUGUGUCUAUGCUGGUGGGUAAGUUUAUUGUGGUCGACCGAGUUCAUCGUUCCUAUUUUGUAGUGUUUGGGGGUCUUGAGACCCGUGUUGAUUUGUUGCUUUUAGACAUGGUCGACUUCGACGUUAUAUUAAGGAUUGAUUAGUUUUUCCCAUAUCAUGCUAUUUUGUAUUUCCAUGCCAAGACUGUAUCCUUAGCUCUACCGGAUUUGCCCCGUUAGAGUGGAGGGGGACUCCAGGUCACCCUACCCGCAGUAUUAUUUCAUAUGUGAAGGCUCGACGCAUGGUCAAGAAUGGGUGUUUAGCAGAGGUCCCUUCUAUUGAUUCUAUGCUAGUAGUUCAGGAGUUUCCUGAGGUUUUCCCUUCAGACCUGUCGAGUAUGCUGCCCGACAGGGAUACCGACUUUUGUAUUGAUGUGGCUCUGGGCACUUAGUCCCGUCGUAUCGCAUGGCCCCGCCAUAGUUGAAAGAGUUAAAGGAUCAGUUGCAGGAUUUGCUUGAGAAGGGUUUCAUUAGACCCAGCGUUUCGCCUUGGGGCGCGCCGGUGUUAUUUGUGAAGAAAAAGGAUAGUUCCAUGAGUAUGUGCAUUGAUUACUGGAAAUUAAACAAAGUUACAAUCAAGAAUAAGUAUCUGUUGCCGAGGAUUGACGAUUUAUUCAACCAACUUUAGGGUGCCAAGGUGUUUUCAAAGAUAGACUUGAGAUCUAGCUACCACCAGUUGAGGAUUGGGGUAUCCGAUGUUCCUAAGACGUCUUUUCACACUUGGUACGGGCAUUACAAGUUUUUGGUCAUGUCAUUAGGGUUGACCAAUGCCCCAGCAGCGUUCAUAGAGCUGAUGAACCAAGUGUUCACGACUUAUUUGUACUUGUUUGUGAUAUUCUUUGUUGAUGAUAUUCUGGUAUGCUCCCACAACCAGGAGGAGAACGAGCAGCACCUCAGAGUGGUUCUUCCGACUCUGAAGGACAGUAAGUUAUAUGAGAAAUUUUUGAAGUGUGAGUUCUGGUUGAGUUCGGUCGCAUUUUGGGUACGUUGUAUCAGUAUAGGGUAUUCAGGUGGACCCGAAGAAGAUUGAGGCAGUCAAAAACUGGCCUCGACUAGCCUCGACUACAGAGAUUCGGAGUUUCUUAGGGUUGGCAGGCUACUAUCGUCGAUUCGUGGAGGGGUUUUCAUCCAUAGCAACCCCGAUUAACAGAUUGAACCAAAAGGGUGCCCAAUUCAGAUGGUCGGAUGAGUGUGAGGCGAUCUUUUAGAAGCUCAAGAUAGCUCUGACUACGGCACCAACAUUGGUUUUGCCCAUAAGUUCAGGGCCUUACACAGUCUAUUGUGAUGCUUCCCGUAUCGGUCUUGGUGCAGUAUUGAUGCAGGAUGGCAGAGUAAUUGCCUAUGCUUCGAGGUAGUUAAAGAUCCACGAGAAGAAUUAUCCAGUGCAUGAUCUAGAGUUGGUAGCCAUUGUUCGUGCUUUGAAGAUUUGGAGGCAUUAUCUAUAUGGUGUGACGUGUGAGGUGUGCACUGAUCCAAGAGUCUUCAGUAUCUGUUCAAGCAAAAGGAGUUGAAUUUGAGGCAGAUGAGGUGGUUGGAGUUGUUGAAAGAUUAUGAUGUUACUAUCUUGUAUCACCCGGGGAAGGACAAUGUGGUGGCCGAUGCGUUGAGUAUGAAGUCUGUCAGCAUGGGCAGUCUUGUUUAUAUUCCGGCAACCAUACACUGCUUGCUUUGGAUGUUCAGGCCUUGAGCAAUCGAUAUGUGAGGUUGGAUAUUUCUGAGCCUAGCCGAGUUUUACCUUUCACGGUCUCUCGCUCUUCAAUAUUGGAGCGUAUCCAUGAAUGGCAGUUUGAUGAUCCCCAUUUAUGUGUCCUUAGAGAUACAGUGCAGCGAGGAGGUGCUAAGCAGGUGACCUUAGAGGAUGAUUAUAUUUUGAGAUUUGAGGGGCGAGUUUGUGUCCCCAAUGUGGAUGUGAUUUGAGAGUUGGUCUUAGCGGAAGCCCAUAGUUCCCUGCAUUCUAUUCACCCGGGCACCACAAAGAUGUAUCAGGAUCUGAGGCAGCAUUAUUGGUGGCGUAGAAUGAAGAAAUAUAUCAUGGCAUAUGUGGCACGGUGCUUGCAUUAUCAGCAAGUUAAGUAUGAGCAUCAGAGACUUGGUGGUCUAUUUCAGAGGAUUGAGCUUCCCGAGUGGAAGUGGGAGAGGAUUACCAUGGAUUUCGUUAAUGGACUUCCGUUGACCCAGAAGAAGCUCAAUGCAGUUUGGGUCAUUCUUGAUAGGAUGACUAAGUUAGUGCAUUUCAUUCUUGUGGCAGUCUCCUAUUCAUCCGAGAGGUUAGCUUAUAUUUAUAUUCAGGAUAUUGUUCGUUUCCAUGGUGUGCCGGUAUCUAUCAUUUCGGAUCGAGGUACACAGUUUAACUCACGUUUUUGGAGAGCAGUUCAACAAGAUUUAGGCAUUCGGGUGGAGUUGAGUACAACAUUUCAUCCUCAGACUGACGGACAGUCCGAGCGGACUAUUCAGAUUGGAGGAUAUGCUCCGAGCUUGUGUUAUCGACAUUCGAGGUUCGUGGGAUCUGUUUUUGCCCUUAGUAAAGUUUGCCUACAACAACAACUACCAGUUCAGCAUUCAGAUCUCUCCUUAUGAAGUGUUAUAUGGUAGACGGUGUCGAUCUCUGGUUGGAUGGUUUGAGCCGAGAGAUGCUCGGUUGUUGGGUACAUAUUUUGUUCAGGAGGUCUUGGACAAGGUCAAGAUCAUUCAGGAUAGGCUUCGUACAGCUCGGUCUAGGGAAAAGAGUUGUGCAGAUCGCAAGGUUCGAGAUGUGGCUUCCAUGGUUGGUGAGCGAGUAUUGCUCCGAGUGUCGCCUAUGAAGGCCGUGAUGAGAUUUGGGAAGAAGGGCAAGCUUAUCCCUAGAUUCAUUGGUCCGUUUGAGAUUCUUGAUUGAAUGGGAGAGGUGGCUUAUAGACUUGACUUGCCACCUAUCUUAUCAGCUGUGUAUCUAGUGUUUCAUGUAUCUAUGCUCCGUAAGUAUCACGGCGAUCCAUCCCACGUGUUAGAUUUCAGCAGUGUCCAGUUGGACAAUAAUCUUUCUUAUGAGGAGGAGCCGGGAGCUAUUCUAGACCGGCAAGUUCGUCAGUUGAGGUCCAAGAGUUUUCCUUCUAUUUCUGUUCAGCUGAGAGGACAGCCCCCUGAGGCAUCGACUUGGGAGUCCGAGUCCAAUAUGCGGAACCGUUAUCCCCAUCUAUCUCCCGACUCAGGUACGUCUUUCAUUUGUCCGUUCGAGGACGAACGGUUGUUUUAGAGGUGGAGAAUGUGACGAUCCAAAUGGUCAUCGCUUGUUUCCUCAUGCAUUUUGUGUCUCCGAGGCUUUGAAAAACCUUAUUUAAGGCUGCCUCGAUUUGCGUGUAUAGUACAGGCGCAUAAUCGGAAAGCUUAAAUGUGAAUUCUAUGAGAAAAUGAUAGAGUUUGAUAUUUAAAAUAAUUAAAUUUGACUUCUAUCAACUUUUCGGGUAAACAGUCCAUACCCGUGAUUUGACGGUCUCGGAGGGUCCGUAGGAAAAUAUGCGAUUUGAACGUAUGUCCGGAAUCGAAUUCCGAGGUCCCAAGUCCGAGAAAUGAAUUUUUGUGUGAAUUAUUUUCUGGAAAUAAUUAUGGAAAUUAAAAAUGGAAUUUCAUUAUAAGACUAUGGUAUCGGGCCCGUAUUUUGGUUCUGGCGCCCGGUACAAGUCAUAUAUAUAAUUUAAACACUUUUUGUAAAGUUUGGUUGAAAACAUACGUAGUUUGACGUGUUUCAUAUUUAAUAUAGAAGUUUGAUGUUUUAUGAAAAAUCUAGAAGAAAUCAUGAGUUUUGAGGCUUGAUUCGGUGUAUUUGAUAUUAUUUUGGCGAUUUAAUCAACCGGAUAUGUUCGUAGGGUGAUUUUGAGGUUCUGAAUAUGUUUGGGUUGGAGCCCCGAGGGCUCGGGUGAGUUUCAAGUAGGUUCCGAAAUGCCUUAGAACUAAAAGAGCAGAUGUUGCAGGUUCAGGAAAUAUUGCCAGGUCUCGGAACCCUCGUGUGUGGCCCGCGAGGAAACGAGUGCGGUCGCGGAGGGGCCAGCGGGGCCACGGUCGCUUUUGAGAAGUCCGCGGUGGGAGCUGCGCGGCCGCGGUCGGCCUGGUGCAGUGCGCACUAGGCAAUGAUCCGCAGGCAUUCAGAAAGCUUGUGCGGUUGCGGUCCUUUUUGCGCGGUCCGCGCGGAGAACUUCAGAGGGGUAUAAAUACACGUGAAUUUCAGUUAUUUUACACUUUCCAAACCCCAAAACAUAAGAGGCGAUUUUCAAAAAAAUUCUUCUUCUCCGAAAUGAUUGAUAAGUGAUUUCUAAAUUAUUUUCUUCAUUCCUUAAAAUCUUUUAAAAUGAUUUCAACUUCAAAUCAAAGACUUCCAUGGGUGAAAUUGGGGAUUUUGGGUAAAACUUAGGGUUUUCUAAAAUUGGGGAUUUGAACCUCAAUUUGGGGUCUGAUUUCAAAAUAAAUUAUAUAAUUGGGUUCAUAGGGAAUGGUAAUCGGGUUUUGAUUCGAACCUCGGAUUUAGACCACGUGGUCCCGGAGGCAUUUUUGGGCAAAACUUUGGGAAAUUUAUUUUUAUGCAUUCAAAUUAAUUCAAUUAGCAUUUGUCGAUGUAUUGAAGUAAUUUGUGACUAGGUCCGAACGGUUUUGUGGUGGAAUCGAGGGGUAAAGCUGUACUGGAGGCUUGAGUUGAGUUUCAAGUAUCGAGGUAAGUGUUUGGUCUAACCUUAGCUUGAGAGAAUAGGAGUUGAGUAUUGUUUGCUACUUGCUAAUGAUCGAGUACGGUAUAUACGCAUGGUGAUGAGUAUCUAUAUACUGGUGUCUAGUAUGACCGUGAGUCCUUAAAAUGCGAAUAUCAUGACUUUGUUGAGAUUUUCGUGCUUAAUUGAGGAUUUCUAUACAUUGUAAAGCACAUGUGAAAGACGUUAUGGAUAUUGGAUUUUCUGGAGUGUUGGCUCGAAUGAUAAAGUGAUUCAUAAGUAAGAAACGAAAGAAAAGGAUGACUAUGUGGUUCUUCCCUUGCCGGGACAUUAUAUUGUUGUUGAUUUUCUCCCUUGCCGGGAUUUAACUACCUUGUUGUAUUCCCUUGCCGGAAUUUCUUCCAUUAUUUGUUUACUUCCUUACCCUUAUUUGAGAUUGUUGUUUGGGUGAGGAAAAAUAAUAUAUAUAUAUAUAUAUAUAUAUAUAUAUAUAUAUAUAUAUAUAUAUAUAUAUAUANNNNNNNNNNNNNNNNNNNNNNNNNNNNNNNNNNNNNNNNNNNNNNNNNNNNNNNNNNNNNNNNNNNNNNNNNNNNNNNNNNNNNNNNNNNNNNNNNNNNNNNNNNNNNNNNNNNNNNNNNNNNNNNNNNNNNNNNNNNNNNNNNNNNNNNNNNNNNNNNNNNNNNNNNNNNNNNNNNNNNNNNNNNNNNNNNNNNNNNNNNNNNNNNNNNNNNNNNNNNNNNNNNNNNNNNNNNNNNNNNNNNNNNNNNNNNNNNNNNNNNNNNNNNNNNNNNNNNNNNNNNNNNNNNNNNNNNNNNNNNNNNNNNNNNNNNNNNNNNNNNNNNNNNNNNNNNNNNNNNNNNNNNNNNNNNNNNNNNNNNNNNNNNNNNNNNNNNNNNNNNNNNNNNNNNNNNNNNNNNNNNNNNNNNNNNNNNNNNNNNNNNNNNNNNNNNNNNNNNNNNNNNNUAUAUAUAUAUAUAUAUAUAUAUCGCGUUGCAAGCCGCAAUAAUUAUAUUAAUAUGGAUCGGGUUGCACGCCAUGAUAUAUGUGGAUCGGGUUGCACGCCGCAACAAUGAUAUAUGUGAAUCGGAUUGCACGCCGCAACAAUGUAGUUAUACAUUUGGAUCUGGUUGCACACCACAACAAUUGUUGGCUCGAGUGUGUUUACUUUGAGUAUUUGUUUCUGUUGGCUGCUUCUAUCUUUAAAUUGAGAUUUACUAUUUGUAUAUGUUGCCUCCCCACAACAUGUUUCCCUCUUCCUUUAUCGGCUGCUAUUCUCUGUGUUUCCUUCUGUUGCAUAUAUAUUUUAAUUGCAUAGGUUUAUCUGGUAGUCUGGUCCUAGCCUUGUCACUACUUCACUAAGGUUAGGCUAGGCACUCACCAACACAUGGGGUCGGUUGUGCUGAUGCUACACUCUAUGCUAUUUUGCACAUAUCACGGUGUUGGAGCAGUUUUCGAGCAGCAGUAGUAGUCUGGGAGCGAGCCUUCAGUCUAGAGACACCGAGGUAGCCUUGCUAACGUCUGCAUGCCCGAAGUAUCCUCUAUGUUUAUUUCAGUUUGUUAUCCUUUGUACCAAAACAAACAGUUUAUGAUUUCUUUCACACCUUGUAUGUAGUGUUUUUAGAUGUUCGUGAGCUUGUGACUCUAGUUCUUGGGUAGAGAUUUAUGUUGGGACUUCCUUAUUAUUUUCCAGCUAUUUAAAUUUAAGACUUCCGCUUAUGAUUUUAAUUCCAUUGUUUCGCUUCAAUGCUGAUAAUUAUUAAAAAGGGUUAUGUGUUUAAUGAAAAGUAAUUAAAUUUUGGCUUGCCUAGCUUCCACGUGUAAGCGCCAUCACGACUCCCGUGGUGGGGAUUUCGGGUCGUGACAAUAACCUACUUUCUCUCUUUUCAAUAAGAUAACACUUGCUAUGUUUUGAAAUAAAGUGUGAAUGUUCACUACUCUACUCUUCUCCAGAGACUCCACUAGUUUCUCGAGUGAGUAUGCGGAGUGAUAGGGGUAUUCAAAUUGAAUCGAAAAAUCGCACGAAAUCGAAAAGUCAAACCAAACAAAUUAUAAAAUCCGAAUAUGUUUGAUUUGAUUUGGCUUGAUAUUGAAUUAAAAAAAUUCGAACCAAACCAACAUAUAAAUAUAUUUUAUUUUAUAUAUACUUUUAAGGCUUUAUAUUGAAUAUUUUCUUUUUAAAAAAUAUAAAAAUAUUUGUGAUCCUCUCCUGGAAUGUAAUAUUUCAUAGAACUUUCCUGAGCUGGGGGUGUAUUAGAAACAACACCUCUAUCCUCACAAGGUAGGGAUAGCGUACACACUACCCUCCCCAGACCCGUUAGUGUGGGAUAAUACUGGGUGUGUAGUUGUAUAAAGUGUAUUUAUUUUUAUUUACAAUAAAUAAUAUGUUGUAUCACUUUCUUAUUAAGUUUUAUUGAAGUGUGUCAAUCAUCUCUUAGUUCUUACAUAUUCAUAUGUCAAGAUUUCUUAUAUCUUUUUCGAAUUUGAAACGAUAUUUCGAUACUUUAAAAUUAAAUAGAAUGUAUCAGUAUUUAGGCAUCAUCUUAAUUUUUAUGUUUAAUUAUUAAAUUUUAUUACCUUGAAAGAGUACAUUAACAAAAACUUUUUGCUAGACAAUUAAGAAAAUAAUAAUCAUGUGUUAAUAAGAAAAUUCUCCCAUAAGAAUAUUUUAGUAAAUCAUAUGUUAUUCAAUUUUUAAAAAUUUUACUAAUAUUUAUUCAAUUAUCAAAACUUUAUCUAUAACUUUAACCAAGUAAGAUUUAAAAAUAUUCAUGUAAUAAAAAAAUCUGAAAAGUCUAACAAAACCGAACCAAUCCAAACCGAUAUAGUUGAUUUGGUUUGGUUUUGAUUAAAACUGAAUCAACUCGGUCCAUGUACAUCCCUGAUGAGUCAUGUGUGAGAAAUUUAAAAUUAGUCAGAUUUACCACUGAUCGUUGAAAAAUAGCCAAGUUCAAAUGUUAUCGAAAUUUAGCCAUUUUUUAGGUAAAGAUAAAUCUGAGCAAAAACACUAUUCAAAAUUCAAAAAAUACGGCUGCAAACUUUACGGGAGUUCCAGCAUAAGUAUGCUUGAACUCCCACAUAUUUUACGGGAGUUCUAGCAAGUAUAAAUGUCCAGUAUAAUAUAUAUAGAAGUUUGGAGCACUGGCUUCAGUCUCCCGCAAAUUUUACAGGAGUUAGCAAAGUAUAUCAGUCCAGCAUAAUAUGCUGGAGUACGUACACAAAUGCACUAGAACUCAUAUAUAUUAUACUGGACCGGUCUCUGUUGCAGCAAAAUAGUGGUUAUUUUUUAUUGAUUCAAUAAACGCUGGCUAUUUUUGAUUGAUCAGUGUGAAAACUAACUAUACCAUGAUAUUUUAACUGUAUAUACAUGUGAUAUUGUUACUUAUUUUGAUUUAUGAGUCAAGUAACAGGGACCGAAAAGUGCAUGUCUCCAAACAACUAGACCAACGUUAACAAAACUUUUAUUUUCCGCAUACUUUGUUAGCUGGAAUGAAUGAUAUGCUACUUCUGAAUAUCUUUUGUUGAGUGGAAGUUAAUGGGAAAAAGAAAAGGAGGUGAAGGGCAUAUAAUUAGAAACUGUAGACUUAAUCAUGUAACAUGUGCCCACAGCAGAAAAUGAUCAAAUAAAAGAGUGAUGAAACUGUAGACGCACCUGUUUGGAAAGGUUGAAGAAGAUGUAUUUUAUGUGCAGAAAAGAUGAAUCAUAUAAGAGAAACACAAGUGUUUGUAGGGUUCAACUUUUGAUAUGAAUGAACCGAAACCAUUCAUCAAACUAAUAUCCUCCUUCAAAAGAUUUAUGGAACUGGAGCUUUGAUAUCUCACUUGAAAGAUAAUCUAAAAGGAAAAGUAGGUUGACAAAAAUUGUACAAGGAAAUUUCCCCCAUGAAAAGUGGUUGCAAUGCAGCAAGCAGCACAUAUGAUAUAUCCUUUUGGAGCAAGCAUGUGUAAUGACAAUAUGGAGAACUAUAUCAUGCCAUUUACAACCUUAAAAAUGUAAUGAAUACAGGUGUUGAGAAAAAAAAAUU